GAGUUUGAUCUUGGCUCAGAUUGAACGCUGGCGGCGUGCUUAACACAUGCAAGUCGAGCGGCAGCGCGGGGGCAACCCUGGCGGCGAGCGGCGAACGGGUGAGUAAUGCUUCGGAAUCUUCCUAGUAGUGGGGAAUAACCUGGGGAAACUCAGGCUAAUACCGCAUACGAACUACGGUUGAAAGCAGGGGAUCGCAAGACCUUGCGCUAUUAGAUGAGCCGAAGUCGGAUUAGCUAGUUGGUGGGGUAAAGGCCUACCAAGGCGACGAUCCGUAGCUGGUCUGAGAGGACGACCAGCCACACUGGGACUGAGACACGGCCCAGACUCCUACGGGAGGCAGCAGUGGGGAAUUUUGGACAAUGGGCGCAAGCCUGAUCCAGCCAUGCCGCGUGCAGGAUGAAGGCCUUC
rnacentral:rRNA from 1 species